rnacentral:rRNA from 1 species
GGCAAUGGGCAAGUCGCCUGAUCCAGCCAUAUAGGAGGAGAGCCCCCCAUGGGUAAAACUUUCUCAAGUCAAGUAAAAGAAGGAUACUGCUUGGACAAGUAAUUCUGACAAAACUCGUGCCAGCAGUCGCGGUAAGGCGAGUAGGAUAAGCGUAAUUCAUAAUAACUAGGUGUAAAGGGUUAGUAGGCAGUCCAAAGGGCUAGAGUGGGAGGAAGGUAAGGGGAACUAAGAUAACAGGGAUAGAAUCUAAUGAAAAUAUUAUGACCACCCAGCCAAGGCAUCUUACCGAUCUACACUGACGCUAAGGGACUAAAGUGCGGGUAGCGAAAAAGAUU